rnacentral:rRNA from 1 species
AUUGAACGCUGGCGGCAGGCCUAACACAUGCAAGUCGAACGAGUGGCGGAAGGGUGAGUAAUGUCUGGGAAACUGCCCGAUGGAGGGGGAUAACUACUGGAAACGGUGGCUAAUACCGCAUACUAUGGGAUGAACCCAUAUGGGAGUAGCUAGUAGGUGGGGUAAAGGCUCACCUAGGCGACGAUCUCUAGCUGGUCUGAGAGGAUGAUCAUCCGCAGUGGUACUGAGACACGGCCCAGCCUCCUACGUGCGGCUGCAGGGGGGAGUAUUGCACCAUGGGCGCAAGCCUGAUGCAGCCAUCCAGCGUGUAUGAAGCAGGCCUUAGGGUUGUAGAGUACUUUCAGCGGGGAGGCGUUACCCGCAGAAGAAGCACCGGCUAACUCCGUGCCAGCCGCCGCGGUAAUUC